GUUUGUAGAUCAGGACCUGUCACAUAUGGUCGAUGACGAAGCCUACGACUACAAGUUUGUCAAAUGGAUGAUUAAAGAAAAGAAACUGGCCGCUAUUCCAGUCACAGCGUUUGUCGGAGAGGAAUCCACGAAGCAGUUUGAGAAAUAUAUUCGCCUUUGCUUCAUAAAGCAAGACAGCACUCUGGAUGCAGCAGGAAGCAUCCUGAAGAACUGGAGGACGGUUUAAUGUGACAGAAACGUCACUGAGUGUUCAGGGAGGACGAACAGCUCCGAGCUCAAACGAGGGAACGGGAUUUCAGAAAUUGCACUCUGGAAACUGGAAAAAUGCAGUUAAUAGCAGAAUGCCGUUUCAUAUUUUGACCUGUGUCCUGUUUUUAACCUCGGUAAUGAGUAGUUUUUAUUAAUCCCUUAAAGUGUGAGCUGACAGGUGAGAGGUCAUUUCGAUCAAUUUACCCAAAGAUCCAGUGGAUCUGUACACCUUACUCAUUCCUAUUGUCAGACUGUGUAGACUGAUUCAGUAUUUUUUGAGUUAAUAUUUGCACAGGAGUUUAACAUUAACACACACCACAGAGAGGUAAGCAGAGGACUGUUUUGACUGAACCUUUCUGCCUUAACAGAGUCUUUAUUUUCCAAUUAAACUAAAAUCCAGACACAUUUUGGGUUCAAUUGUGUGUCAGAACUGGUUGUGGAAUUGCGACUUUUGAAAAUAAAGGUUUGAUAUUUUGUUUGUCAGCA